GUCUGGAGGGGCAGGAGGAUGGGCAACGAAGGGUGAGGUUUCAGGUCAUGGGUGAGAUACCCAGAGUUCAGAUGAGUCCCUACCCUAAGAAGGAGCCUCUUUGGCGGGUAGAGAGUACCAGACACCUCCCUGGAGGACAGGAUGCACAUCAGGAGAUGAGAAGGCAUGGAAACCACCCUGAAGAUAGGGGGGACUGUGAGAUGGCAAGUGAAGAGAAACCUUGGGCCAUACAGGUCGGAGAGAGGUCCUGCUCUCUGAAGACAGCAUCAGUGGAUUCCACCUGGAAAAGCAGCAAGCUAUCACACAUUAAUUACUAUGGAGGUCACCUGGGGGGGGGGCAGGUGGAACGGACACGUGAGUUGACUCCUGUCUUUCUCCUCACUAUGAGAGAAAAAUAAAGACAAUCACGCAGGUGAGGACAUUGAUCCUCACUUAGGCAAUAACUUUAUCUGACAUGGGGUUAAAUAUGAGAUAAGAUUUAGACUUACAGUUAGAGAUUCAGUAAAACUUGGGUAUUAAGGGUUAGGUUAGGUUAUGAUUAGGAAUGAAGGUUAGGUUAUUGAAGUUAAGGUUAGGGUAUGAUUAGGAAUGAAGGUUAGGUUAUUGAAGUUAAGAUUAGGGUAUGGAUAGGAUAAGUUUUCAGUUAGGUAUUUGAUAUUCACCGGUCCUCACUUUAAUAGAACAUGUGUGGGUGUGCAAAUGAGUGUUUUAGUAUUUUAGUUUUUCUUUGUUUCCUCUGUCAAUGAAAGGAGGCGGAGCUGACCCACGCCUUAAGAAGCACCAGGGAGACCACGCCUUCGUAGACGCCAGCUUCUCCGGGCCUCAUCUCCCUCCCCUUGUCCUGGGCCCCCUGGUCAGCCUGCUGCAAGACAAACCAAGCCAGAAACCAGGCAGCCCAGGAAGGCCGGUGGAGAGCCUGCCACCAAUAAAAAGUGUUGAGGUCAGCUCACAGACUCCCACCCAGCCUCGGUUUGAGCGGCUGAUCCAAACCUAUCCUGCCCAUCCAGCCGAGAUCUACUUAGCAGCUGAGUUCCUGCCAGACAGGGGCCAUCCAGAAAGGGGCCAUCCAGACAGGGGCCAUCCAGACAGGGGCCAUCCAGACAAUGUCCAGCCCGAAAAGUCUCAUCCAGACAGGUCCCACCCAGGGGUCAAUCCAGACAGAAGCCAUCUAGAGAAGCCAGAACCUGGGAGGCUGCUGCUGUCAUUUCUGCUACCCCCUGGACAUACGGAGGAAGACAAGCAGAGUCCCUGUGCAAGAAGAGGAGCACGAGGAGGAUUAGCCAAAAGAGGAGUGGCAGAAAGAAGGGGAGGAGCAGGACAAGAAGAUCUACCUGAGGAAGGCAUCAAGCAGACAGGACUUGAGGAGGACAGAGACGGUCUCUUCAUACUAGAACCUGACCAAGAGCAUGCUGUUCCGCUGGGGGUGAUAGCCCCCCUUGUCGGCCGGCUGAGAGGCCCCGGUAAACAGAGCUCCAUGGCCGUCUACAGGGACAGACCUGAACUCCAUGCCCAGUGGGACCAUUCCGAUUCGGGCAGGGCUGUGGUUAGAGGAAGCCUACCCCUAGAGCUCAGAGACUGGCAGCAGCGGACAGGCAAAGCACUCGGCACCUUGAUCAUGGGUCCUGAUGGUGAGGUGAUGCAGAUGUCCCUGUGGGACCCAGCCAACGUGGCCGACGUUGAGGCUACUGGGCUGGACCAGGCCUCAACAGACCACGCACUGAAGGGCCUGACCACAGAGGGGAAGGGACCCUGGGUCGAACUGAUGCAAACCAAGCCUACGACCACAGGUUAGUUCCUUACCCAAAGCACUAAACCUUAACCCAACCAUAACCCUAGACCUAACUCUAGCCUUUAUAGUUCCUAACCGUAGACCUAACUCAAGCCUUGUUAAUCUUAACCAUAGACCUAAAUCUAACCUUUAUAAUCCUAACCCUAGGCCUAAAUCUAGCCUUUCUAAUCCUAACCCUAGACCUAACUAACAUUUAUAAUCCUAACCCUAGACCUAAGUCUAAAAAUCCUAAAUCUAAACCCUAGCCAUAACCUUAAAUCAAAGCCUUAAUCCUAGCCGUAGUCCUAGAUUCCUAGACCUUCAUCUAAACCCUAACUCUAGCCUCAGUCCUACAAUCCUACACCUAGAUCUAAGCCCUAAUUCUAGUCUUACUUCUUGAAUCUUAACCCAAGAUCUAAACCCUAACCUUACUUCUAGAUUCCUCAGCCUAACCUUAGAGUCAAGUGUACACAAUUGAGGACUCAUCUAAUUUGCCCCCCUAGUGCCAGCCAAGGACAAAGCCCAGAGCUCAUCAUAGAUGUUAGAGGAACGUUUCUUCAGAUGCUUCACUAAUCCCUGUCAUUUCUAGGCCAAAAUGCAAUCAAAUGUUAUUUUAUAUUUGUUGAGUAUUUCACAAUGAAGAAGAAUUUACCUCAUCUGAACUGGAUUACUGGAAGACAUCCUAAUCCAUUACAUCAUUAUCAGGCUGUGUUCAGUAACCUCCCGUUUCCUCCUCCCCCAUUACCAGGCUGUGUUCAGUAACCUCCCGUUUCCUCCUCCCCCAUUACCAGGCUGUGUUCAGUAACCUCCCGUUUCCUCCUCCCCCAUUAUCAGGCUGUGUUAAGGAACCUCCCGUUUCCUCCUCCCCCAUUAUCAGGCUGUGUUCAGGAACCUCACGUUUCCUACUCCAUGAUUACCAGGCUGUGUUCAGUAACCUCACGUUUCCGCCUCCACCAUUUGAACACCAGGCUGUGUUCAGUAACUUCACCUAGCUAUCACACGUUUUUGCAUGUAUAUGUAUAUGCUAACACACACAUUCCCCGCCCUCCACACACAGCUUUUCACCUGGCAUGCUUAAACUCCCCCAACCUCCUGCUACUUCCUCACAUCUAGAUGUGUUUGGUUGUAGUGAGGCUAGCACUCUAUUCCCUGUGUAGGGCACUACGGUCCAUAGGGUCGAGUCAAAAGGAGUGCACUAUAUAUCGGGAAUAGGGUGCUAUUCGGAACACAUUAUCGAGAGGAAACCCUGGUCCCUAAACCCUAAUCCCUGAUUCUUGGUCCCUUACCCCUACUCCUUGGUCCCUAAACCCUUCGCCCUGGUCCCUAAACCCUUCGCCCUGGUCCCUAAACCCUUCGCCCUGGUCCUGAAACCCUUCGCCCUGGUCCCUAAACCCUUCGCCCUGGUCCCUAAACCCUUCGCCCUGGUCCCUAAACCCUUCGCCCUGGUCCUGAAACCCUUCGCCCUGGUCCCUAAACCCUUCGCCCUGGUCCUGAAACCCUAACCAGAGCUUUGUUACGUUAUUUAGGUCACACAAUAUAGUGUAGCGUGUUCUUUGUCCGUAUGAACGUAGAGACAGACUCGUCCUGCUCAGUUUGAAAUCACCCUUAUUAAUCACUGCGUCCCUGUUGAACGUCAACACCACUCAAAGCCUGUUGAGAGACCUGCAGACCCAGAGGCAGAAACACAUCCCUGCCAAUGGUUACAUAGUCCUUACUUAGUAGGACCAACUACAGUGCUGACCCUGGGCCUGCCAAAGACAGAUUACCGUGACCAAAGGCAAAGCAGAUCUAAUUUCUUUUUACAUUCAUCCCAGAAUGUAUUUCAGGGGAAACACAACCUACUGACAGUUCCUGAAUGGAACGCAUUGAGCAGUGAGAAGC
ensembl:lncRNA